UUUAUAAUGCCUCCGUCCGGAAAUACUUGUCUUAGAAAUGGAUGUAUCUAGACUUAUUUUAAUUAUAGAUACAUUUAUUUUAUUCACUUUUAGGACAAGUAUUUUUCGAACGAAAGAAAUAGUAA
rfam:Hordeum vulgare subsp. vulgare, WGS project CAJW01000000 data, contig: morex_contig_1613695